rnacentral:rRNA from 1 species
UACGUAGGGGGCAAGCGUUGUCCGGAUUUAUUGGGCGUAAAGCGCGUGUAGGCGGCCACGCAGGUCCGCUGUGAAAACUCGAGGCUCAACCUCGAGCUGUCGGUGGAAACCGCGUGGCUAGAGUCCGGAAGAGGGGACUGGAAUUCCCGGUGUAGCGGUGGAAUGCGCAGAUAUCGGGAGGAACACCCGUGGCGAAGGCGGGUCCCUGGGCCGAUACUGACGCUGAGGAGCGAAAGCGUGGGGAGCGAACAGG